rnacentral:rRNA from 1 species
AAGGUUUUCGGAUUGAGUAGCGUGGCGGACGGGUGAGUAAUGCGCGGGAAUCUGCCUGGCAGAGGGGGAUAACCCGGGGAAACUCGGGCUAAUACCGCAUACGCCCUACGGGGGAAAGGGGGCUUCGGCUCCUGUUGCCAGAUGAGCCCACGUCCGAUUAGCUAGUUGGCAGGGUAAUAGCCUACCAAGGCGACGAUCGGUAGCUGGUCUGAGAGGAUAGCCAGCCACACUGGGACUGAGACACGGCCCAGACUCCUACGGGAGGCAGCAGUGGGGAAUAUUGGACAAUGGGCGCAAGCCUGAUCCAGCAAUGCCGCGUGUGUGAAGAAGGCCUGCGGGUUGUAAAGCACUUUCAGUGGGGAAGAAAAGCGGAUGGUCAAUACCCAUUCGUUUUGACGUUACUCACAGAAGAAGCACCGGCUAACUCCGUGCCAGCAGCCGCGGUAAUACGGAGGGUGCGAGCGUUAAUCGGAAUUACUGGGCGUAAAGCGCGCGUAGGCGGCGCGAUCAGUCUGCCGUGAAAUCCCCGGGCUCAACUUGGGAAUGGCGGUGGAUACUGUCGAGCUAGAGUGUGAGAGAGGGGGGUGGAAUUCCAGGUGUAGCGGUGAAAUGCGUAGAGAUCUGGAGGAACACCAGUGGCGAAGGCGGCCCCCUGGUUCAACACUGACGCUGAGGUGCGAAAGCGUGGGUAGCAAACAGGAUUAGAUACCCUGGUAGUCCACGCGGUAAACGAUGUCGACCAGCCGUUGGAUCCAUUUAAGGUUUUCGUGGCGCAGCUAACGCGAUAAGUCGACCGCCUGGGGAGUACGGCCGCAAGGUUA